GAGUUUGAUCCUGGCUCAGAUUGAACGCUGGCGGCAUGCCUAACACAAGCAAGUCGAACGGUAGCAGGCCUUCGGGUGCUGACGAGUGGCGGACGGGUGAGUAAUGCGUAGGAAUCUGUCUUUUAGUGGGGGACAACCCAGGGAAACUUGGGCUAACACCGCAUGAGCCCUGAGGGGGAAAGCGGGGGAUCUUCGGACAUCGCGCUAAGGGAAGAGCCUACGUCUGAUUAGCUAGUUGGUAGGGUAAAGGCCUACCAAGGCGACGAUCAGUAGCUGGUCUGAGAGGACGACCAGCCACACUGGGACUGAGACACGGCCCAGACUCCUACGGGAGGCAGCAGUGGGGAAUUUUUCGCAAUGGGGGCAACCCUGACGAAGCAAUGCCGCGUGGAUGAAGAAGGCCUUCGGGUUGUAAAGUCCUUUCGUGGGGGACGAAAAGGUGGUUCCUAAUACGAGCUGCUGUUGACGUGAACCCAAGAAGAAGCACCGGCUAACUCCGUGCCAGCAGCCGCGGUAAUACGGGGGGUGCAAGCGUUAAUCGGAAUCACUGGGCGUAAAGGGUGCGUAG
rnacentral:rRNA from 1 species